ensembl:processed_transcript
UAAAUGUGCUGAAUGUAUAAUGUAUGGUGAAUUAUUUCCCUAACAAAAACAAUAUGGAUCUAACACUUGUUUCCAAGUUUCAACUGAUCAGAUAAUGAACUAAUACUUCUCCUUCACUUCCCCCCACUUCUCAAUGGGUCUUGGAUUUGUGUGAUUUCUUCACUCGCCCCUUUCCCCCAAAGCAUUUCCGGCAGCCAUAGGCACAACAUUUAAAGACAAUGAAGACCACUGUCAACACAAUGGCCAGGAGGAAGCCAAUCACAUCCAAGGAGUGGUACUGGGCCACAAUGGAGCCACAGGGAAGGGAAGGGUCUGUCAGCAGAGCAUCAAAGUGACUUUCUUCCAGAGAGGCCAUAAACUCAGCAUUGUGCAGCAGGUAGGAGCAGCCAGCUAGGAGCAUACUGGAAUCCCUUUUGACUUUCAUAUAUAUUUUGACCACGCGCAGCAGAAAAGGAUCUUGAUUAAAGGCAGUCCGUCCAAGUUCCACCAAAGUAGCUGUCACAUUUUCCUUCUGGAAUGGCACAGGGAACUUCCUCAGAGUGUAAAAUGAUCCUUCUUUUAUGUGUAUUGAGGCUUCAGGUGCUAUGACCACAACUUCGUGCCCCUUCUGCUGGAGCUGCUGAAUAACUCCAAGCAUACUCAGCCAGUGGCUUCCAUCCAUAGGGAACACUAACAGCCUCCCAGCAUGGGAUGCAGAGGGACCGAACACACACAACAGAAGGUACGGAAGAAGCAGAAGCAAACGCGAGCUCCAGCACACCACAGUCAUGGUAUCUCUCUCUCUGAUGCUGCCAGAGAUC